GGUGGGUUGAGGACGCGGACGUGAAGGAGAGCACGCACGUCACGUCAAAAUCGUACGUCUCCAGUGCGAGCAGCCGCCAUUUUCUCAGCGUGAUAGAAGCGAGAAGCGAGUGAAAGACUAUGACUUAUCAAGGUUGUGUCUUCAUUGUCCUCGCGCUGAGAGAUAAAGACACAGAAGCUGUUUGUGUGAGGAGUCACAGACCUGUGUGAGGAUGAGGAGGAGGUGUUCUUCUGAAGAGAGGGACAGACGGUUUAAGGAGAGUAAACUUCAGAAUAACAUCAAGUUAUCUUUAUUUUUACUAAGACUAAAAUAAUGUGUGUGUGUUUUUUUUUUAGAUGUUGAAAUCCAGAGACAAGAUAACUUCAUUCUUUUGAGACUGAUAACUCAAACUAACUGGAGUUAAGGACACACAAGUCUGCUUGUGUGAGGAGGUGGUUUUCUCAGCUUCUUCUGAAGGGAGGGAAAGAUCGUUUAAGG